UACGAAGGGGGCUAGCGUUGCUCGGAAUCACUGGGCGUAAAGCGCACGUAGGCGGACUUUUAAGUCAGGGGUGAAAUCCUGGAGCUCAACUCCAGAACUGCCUUUGAUACUGGAAGUCUUGAGUCCGGAAGAGGUAAGUGGAACUGCGAGUGUAGAGGUGAAAUUCGUAGAUAUUCGCAAGAACACCAGUGGCGAAGGCGGCUUACUGGUCCGGUACUGACGCUGAGGUGCGAAAGCGUGGAGAGCAAACAGG
rnacentral:rRNA from 1 species